UGAACGCUGGCGGCGUGCUUAACACAUGCAAGUCGAGCGGCAGCGCGGGAGCAAUCCUGGCGGCGAGCGGCGAACGGGUGAGUAAUGCUUCGGAAUCUGCCCAUUAGUGGGGAAUAACCAGUCGAAAGACUGGCUAAUACCGCAUACGACCUACGGGUGAAAGCAGGGGACCGCAAGGCCUUGCGCUAUUGGAUGAGCCGAAGUCGGAUUAGCUAGUUGGUGAGGUAACGGCUCACCAAGGCGACGAUCCGUAGCUGGUCUGAGAGGACGACCAGCCACACUGGGACUGAGACACGGCCCAGACUCCUACGGGAGGCAGCAGUGGGGAAUAUUGGACAAUGGGGGAAACCCUGAUCCAGCGACGCCGCGUGUGUGAAGAAGGCCUGCGGGUUGUAAAGCACUUUUAGUGGGAGGAAAACACUCGACCUAAUACGUCGAGAAUUGACUUAACCCAAGAAAAGCACCGGCUAACUCUGUGCCAGCAG
rnacentral:rRNA from 1 species